rnacentral:rRNA from 1 species
UGCGUAGGCGGACUAAUAAGUCAGUGGUGAAAUCUUUCGGCUCAACCGAGAAACUGCCAUUGAUACCGUUAGUCUUGAGUUCGGUUGAGGUAGGCGGAAUGUGUAAUGUAGCGGUGAAAUGCUUAGAUAUUACACAGAACACCAAUUGCGUAGGCAGCUUACUAGACCGACACUGACGCUGAGGCACGAAAGCGUGGGGAGCGAACAGGAUUAGAUACCCUGGUAGUCC